rnacentral:tRNA from 1 species
GGGGCCAUAGCUCAGCUGGGAGAGCGCUUGACUGGCAGUCAAGAGGUCAGGGGUUCGAACCCCCUUGGCUCCACCA